UACGUAGGGUGCGAGCGUUGUCCGGAAUUAUUGGGCGUAAAGAGCUUGUAGGCGGUCUGUCGCGUCUGCUGUGAAAUUUCGGGGCUCAACCCCGAACUUGCAGUGGGUACGGGCAGACUAGAGUGUGGUAGGGGAGACUGGAAUUCCUGGUGUAGCGGUGAAAUGCGCAGAUAUCAGGAGGAACACCGAUGGCGAAGGCAGGUCUCUGGGCCACUACUGACGCUGAGAAGCGAAAGCAUGGGGAGCGAACAGG
rnacentral:rRNA from 1 species